rnacentral:rRNA from 1 species
UACGUAUGGUGCAAGCGUUAUCCGGAUUUACUGGGUGUAAAGGGAGCGUAGGCGGCGCGUUAAGUCUGAUGUGAAAACCCGAGGCUCAACCACGGGAGUGCAUUGGAAACUGGCGGGCUGGAGUGCCGGAGAGGUAAGCGGAAUUCCUAGUGUAGCGGUGAAAUGCGUAGAUAUUAGGAGGAACACCAGUGGGGAAGGCGGCUUACUGGACGGCAACUGACGCUGAGGCUCGAAAGCGUGGGGAGCAAACAGG